AAAUAAAUGAAUAUCUAUUUCUGUGGAUUUCUAUGUCUAUUACAGCGUCAUUUUAUCUCAAUUAUAACUAUCAACAACGGAUCUCUUGGCUCUCACAUCGAUGAAGAACGCAGCGAACCGCGAUAUUUUUUGUGACUUGCAGAUGUGAAUCAUCAAUCUUUGAACGCACAUUGCGCGGUAUGGCAUUCCGUACCGCACGGAUGGAGGAGCGUGUUCCCUCUGGGAUCGCAUUGCUUUCUUGAAAUGGAUUUUUUAAACUCUCAAUUAUUACGUCAUUUCACCUCCUUCAUCCGAGAUUACCCGCUGAACUUAAGCAUAUCAAAAGUCGGAGGAA
rnacentral:rRNA from 1 species